GCUCCUUUUAGAACCAGGACAAAAAAAGUUAUGUGCACCUCUGAUUAUAGGCUUAUUGUUACAGUUGCGUCCCCUCUACUGCCGUAACAUCAUCGUAAAUGUGAUACAAACACACACACAACAUGGAGCAACAUAGCAUAUUAAUGGAAUGUAGACACAAAAUCAAAAUUGACAGCCACAACUACAUUUUCCACUACCUCUCUCACAUGACAGGUUCUGUACAAACACCCGUGUCAUCAGUAUCAGCUCUCCGCGGACAGAACAUUUAAGCCAUGACGCCUAUAUUUUUGGUGCGUUUUGGAUGCGGAGCCAUGCGCAAAGUUACAAAAAUGCCAUGCAGACAUAGGCAUGGUGGUGUGCUCUGCAUUUUUGUAACUUUGCACAUGACUUCACAUCUGAAACCCCAUCCCAUUACUCCUCCCCCAAAAGUGAGCUGUGCUGAACUGGGUUAUACUAUGCAGUGGAAAAGCGCCAAAAGUGUCCUACUUCGUGGCUUGAAGGAUUUAGUUUCAGCGUUGGACUUGUAAUUCUGCGUGUUUGGCUUCUUUAGCACUUGCUGUUUGAAAGUCAUUGCUUGCAACAGAUUGAGCGACUGUCAUUCUACAUUUCUGUUUGCAUUGCUUUGCUUGCAUUUUGAAUCCUUCGCAAUAAUAACUAUGCAAAAAGUUUUACAUUUGAACUGUAGUUGUAGAUUUAAAUUUGUUUUUCCUUGAUAUAAUGUAUUUAUAUAGAUUUUUACAAUUAUUUAUCAUGCAGUGCUUCAUAUAUGAGAAAGACAACGCUUGAAGAACCACACAACACUCAUAUUAAUGUAUGUGUCAUAUUAAUAAAAAUAAACAAGUCUUUGCACUUCAUUUAUAUUUAAUUGAGUGAUAUGUAACUUCACAAUGGUGGAUUCUUUAACUAUUACAUGAAUAUGUGCAUUGUGAUUUCGAUUUAUUGACCAUAGUUAUGUGUUAGGAAUAGUGGAGAAAAUCAUUUACUAAAAAAGACAAAGGUGCCAGAUCUUUCAUUUACUUUAAAUGCAAUAAAAUUAUAGAACAAUUGUAAGCAGCUUUAAUGGAAUCUAUGUAAUAUAGUCAGUAAAGCAUACUAAGUAGUUUAUAAAUUAAGAAAUUCUUAAUAUUAGAUACUAUAAAUUACGAUUUUCAUUAGUAAAGCCAUAGCAAAAACAGCAUUUUUACUUUGAUGUUGCAUAAAAGGGUAACUCUUAUGGUUAAAUGUGUAUGGGUUUAUAUUAAAGCUUCGAGUGGUUUCACGUCCCCGGAAGGUCCGCCAGCGAACGUUGUCUAGCGGACCAUAUGCGGACGUCACCAGAAGGUCCGCCAGAAAACGGUUUUUAGCGGACUUUGUGCGGACGUCCCCGGAAUGUCCGC